rnacentral:lncRNA from 1 species
UCUGUACAAAAGCUAUCCCAUAGAACCUCGGAUGGCAUUAUACCCAAGUAGAGAAUUCGAGCAUUCAAUGUGCACGAACUAUUGAAGGUUUACUGUCGUGGGGGCAUGAAUUGAUGCAAAAACAAAGCCAACCCAGUAUUCCAGAAAAUGAUUAGUUAUUACAAAGCAAAGGCAGUACAUACGACUUUACACAGCAUGUGUGCUGGUCACCAGGGGGCAUUUUCUCCAGAGAGUGACUUGAAAGACUAUUAGUUGUGUAUAUACAUGGGUCAGGAGUGACAAGGAACACAAACCGACUUAACUCUCAGCCUUUUCUACCACUGUUAAGUAUUCUAUGCAAAUGGAAACCUUCACCUU